AAAAAUGUGGGGUGUUUUUAACGCUUCACUACGAGCAUGAAAGAAGUAAUCCAAAUGAAAAAUUUGCAUAUGUGGGAGGAGAUAUGUCCAAAUAAGCAGUAUCUGACCUUGCCAUGACCGGAAAAUAAAAAAUCAUUGCUCAAAAGUGAAAGUAAAAAAUUCGAAGGCCAAUAUUUUGCAGAAAGAAGGCAUAUUCACUUGAAAUUCAGCUUUUAAUAAAUCAAUUAUUGUGUUUUUUUAAUAAAUUCUAACCAUUUGAAUCAGGUAUAUGCGCGUGAAAUAAUAUAUAUUUAUUUAUUUCCAACACCACUAUUCCUGUGCAGUAGAGUUACUCCCCUUUACGCGGAAUUAUUACAUUGUUGUUACGCUGAAUUCGGGAGCGAUCUUUUGAGCAGUUUUACGGAUAUCGGUACGAUAAACACAGUAUUUGUUUGGCAGGAAGAGAAAUCGUCUCAUUUGGUAUCGAUGCAGAGAACAUGACUGACAAAGAUCUAUUGGACAGUGAUUAUGAUGGGAUUUCACAAAUACAUGAGCACAGUUACAUUGUGAAUUCCUGGUGCUGCCAUUCCUAAUCAACCGACAUAUCAGAAUUUUGGAUAAGAAUUCAG